rnacentral:tRNA from 1 species
CUCUGGUUAGCUCAGUUGGUAGAGCACUCCACUGGAAAUGGAGAGGUCCCGGGUUCGAUAACCGGGCCAGGCG